UUGUUUACAGUAUGACAACUUUCUUGGUGAAUUCAACAAGAUCAGAAAUCGGGGGCCAACAUAUAGUUACUCUUCUUAUGUUUCUAUGUUGAAGAAACGGUUGACAGCUUUUCCAGUGGCAAAAGGAAAUUUCAGCUGUAUUCCUGGGUCGAAUGAGAUGUCAGAAUGUGCCGGAAAAAGGGGUAUUGCACAUUCGUGCUGAUCUUUUGCAUCAGUAUUGUUUACCCGUAAAACGAUGGAACGACAGAGCUGAUGAAUUCGGGAACAAGGUUUCCGGGCAUAACAAUGAUAAGAUCAAAAGCGAGAAGAUAAAAUUGUAUUAAAAUGUUGUAUAAAAUGUAAUGUAAGUUCGCUAUAAAAUUCUUGUCAUUUACAAUGAUAAAUGAGCUCUUUAUUUAUAGUUAUAUCUAGGGAAGGAAGUCCUAGGAGUAUGCCCUUCUUUAAUGUCAAUUAUGAGGUUCAUCGAUGAAGAUGUAAUGUUAGACAUAAAUGUCAAAUUCCUUGUAACGGGUUAUCAUCCUUACUGCUGCAAAAUAUUCUGUAUUAAAUGUUACCAGGCGCAAAGCAUUUAAUACUCUUUUUAUGGUCGUUAUUCCUUUCGGUGACAAGCGCAACAGCUAUGUUCGGUGGCCAUCCCCAUCUUGUAUUCCACGUGUCCUUCCUUUAAGUGGCCACGUGUCA